rnacentral:misc_RNA from 1 species
GAUGAAGAACGCAGCGAAAUGCGACAAGUAAUGUGAAUUGCAGAAUUCCGUGAAUCAUCGAAUCUUUGAACGCACAUUGCGCCCCCUGGUAUUCCGGGGGGCAUGCCUGUCCGAGCGUCAUUACAACCCUCAAGCUCAGCUUGGUGUUGGGCCCCGCCGCCCCGGCGGGCCCUAAAGUCAGUGGCGGUGCCGUCCGGCUCCGAGCGUAGUAAUUCUUCUCGCUCUGGAGGUCCGGUCGUGUGCUCGCCAGCAACCCCCAAUUUUUUUCAGGUUGACCUCGGAUCAGGUAGGGAUACCCGCUGAACUUAAGCAUAUCAAUAAGCGGAGGA